rnacentral:misc_RNA from 1 species
CCGAGUUUACAACUCCCAAACCCACUGUGAACAGUACCAACUUGUUGCCUCGGCGGGAUCAGCCCGCUCCCGGGGUAAAAGCCCGGAACAGGCGCCCGCCAGGAGGAACCAACCUAAACUCUGUAGUCCCUCGGAGUAUUUCUACAGCUUCUGAGUAAAAAUCAUAAAUGAAUCA